GACGAACGCUGGCGGCGUGCUUAACACAUGCAAGUCGAACGGAAAGGCCCUGCUUGCAGGGUACUCGAGUGGCGAACGGGUGAGUAACACGUGGGUGUUCUGCCCUGCACUUCGGGAUAAGCCUGGGAAACUGGGUGUAUUACCCGAGAGGAGCGAUUCUGAGUGUGAGGGUUGGUAAGAUUUUUCGGUGUGGGAUGAGCUGGCGGGCUAUCAGCUUGUUGGUGGGGUAAGGGCCUACCAAGGCGGCGACGGGUAGCUGGCCUGGGGGGGUGGACGGCCGACUUGGGGCCGGGGUACGGGCCCAGACCCUACGGGGGGGAAGAGUGGGGAAUAAUGCCAAAUGGGGGGGAGGCUGGUGCAGCGAAGCCGCGUGGCGGAUGGCGGGCUUCGGGUUGUUAACUCCCUUCGGUCGGGAACGAACUUUUUGUGACGGUACCUAGAUAAGAAGCACCGGCUAACUACGUG
rnacentral:rRNA from 1 species